rnacentral:rRNA from 1 species
AGCUGAGUUUGAUCCUGGCUCAGGAUGAACGCUAGCGGCAGGCCUAAUACAUGCAAGUCGGACGGGAUUGGAGAGCUUGCUUUCCAUGAGAGUGGCGCACGGGUGCGUAACACGUAUGUAACCUACCGUUGUCAGGGGGAUAGCCUCUCGAAAGAGAGAUUAAGACCGCAUAAAAUCAUAGAGUAGCAUUACUUAAUGAUCAAAUAUUUAUAGGACAACGAUGGGCAUGCGGGACAUUAGCUAGAU